rnacentral:rRNA from 1 species
AUUGAACGCUGGCGGCAGGCCUAACACAUGCAAGUCGAACGAGUGUCGGUCGGGUUAGUAAUUUCUGGGAAACUGCCUGAUGGAGGGUGAUAACUUCUGGAAACGGUAGCUAAUACCGCAUACCAUCGUAUCUUCCCAUAUGGGAGUAGCUAGUAGGUGGGGUAAAGUCUCACAUAGGCUACGACCCCUAGCCGGUCUUAGAGGAGGACCAGCAACACUGGAACUGAGACACGGCCCAGACUCCUACGGGAGGCAGCAGUGGGGAAUAUUGCACAAUGGGCGAAAGCCUGAUGCAGCCAUGCCGCGUGUAUGAAGAAGGCCUUCGGGUUGUAAAGUACUUUCAGCGGGGAGGCGUUACCCGAAGAAGAAGCAACGGCUAACUCCGUGCCAGCCGCCGCGGUAAUAG